rnacentral:pre_miRNA from 1 species
AAAAAGACAAACCUUGGGUUUCCGUGUCCAACGUUUGACCGUUCGUCUUAUUUAAAAAAAUUAUGAAAAAAAUAAAAAAAUACAAGUCACACAAAGUAUUAAUCAUGUUUUAUCAUCUAACAACAAUGAAAAUACUAAUUAUAAAAAAAUUUCAUAUAAGACGGAGAGUCAAACGUUGGACACGGAAACCCAGGGUUUGUCUUUUU